rnacentral:lncRNA from 1 species
CGCGAAAGCCUGGGCGUGCUGUCGCGGAGAUGCCUCAGCCGGAGUCCCAGCCUCAGCCGGAACCCAAACCUGAACCGAAACCAGAGCCCAUGCCACAUCCUGAGCCUAAACCUGAACCAAAGCCCAUGCCGGAGCCAAAGCCAAUGCCACAUCCAGAGCCGAAACCUGAGCCCAUGCCUCACCCUGAACCGAAACCUGAGCCAAAGCCCGAACCUAAGCCUGAGCCAAAACCCAUGCCCGAGCCAAAACCUGAACCAAAACCCAUGCCCGAGCCUAAGCCGGAACCUAAGCCUGAGCCAAAACCUGAACCAAAACCUAAGCCCGAGCCAAAACCUGAACCAAAACCUAAGCCUGAGCCAAAACCCAUGCCCGAGCCGAAACCUGAACCAAAACCCAUGCCCGAGCCUAAGCCUGAGCCAACACCCGUGCCCGAGCCAAAGCCGGAACCUAAGCCCGAGCCGAAACCCAUGCCCGAGCCAAAACCCAAGCCCGAGCCCAAGCCGGAACCCAAGCCCGAGCCGGAACCCAAGCCCGAGCCGGAACCCAAGCCCGAGCCAAAGCCGGAACCUAAGCCCGAGCCAAAGCCGGAACCUAAGCCCGAGCCGAAACCCAAGCCUGAGCCAAAGCCCGAACCGAAGCCAAAGCCCGAGCCAAAGCCGAAGCCGGAACCUAAACCCGAGCCCAAGC